GGCACAUCAUAUCCAUAACACCUGUGCACUUGUCGGAUGGCUUAGUGAAGACCGCAAGGUUGAAUCUAUCCAUCUACUUUACAUAACAAUUCUGUAACAAAUGUAGUCUUAUUAUAACAUAAUAAAACUUUCAACAACGGAUCUCUUGGCUCUCGCAUCGAUGAAGAACGCAGCGAAAUGCGAUAAGUAAUGUGAAUUGCAGAAUUCAGUGAAUCAUCGAAUCUUUGAACGCACCUUGCGCUCCUUGGUAUUCCGAGGAGCAUGCCUGUUUGAGUGUCAUGAAAACCCUCAACCCUAGAUUGGUUAAAACCUUUCUUUGGUUUGGAUUUGGACGUUUGCCGAUGAUAAGUCGGCUCGUCUUAAAAGUAAUAGCUGGAUCUGUCUCGCGACAUGAUUUGACUUGGCGUAAUAAGUAUUUCGCUAAGGACAUCUUCGGAUGGCCGCGUUGCAGGACUAAAGACCGCUUUCUAAUCCAUUGAUCUUCGGAUUAAUACUCUUGACAUCUGGCCUCAAAUCAGGUAGGACUACUCGCUGAACUUAAGCAUAUCAAUAAGCGGAGG
rnacentral:rRNA from 1 species